UCCCUGGUGGCUCAGACGGUAAAGAAUCUGCCUGCAGUGCAGGAGACCCAGGUUUGAUCCCUGGGUUGGGAA
rnacentral:tRNA from 1 species